rnacentral:rRNA from 1 species
UACGGGGGGUGCAAGCGUUGUUCGGAUUUAUUGGGCGUAAAGCGCGUGUAGGCGGUUCUAUAAGUCUGAUGUGAAAGCCCAGGGCUCAACCUGGGAAGUGCAUUGGAUACUGUAGGACUUGAAUACGGGAGAGGGCAGUGGAAUUCCUGGUGUAGCAGUGAAAUCCGUAGAUAUCAGGAGGAACACCGGUGGCGAAGGCGGCUACCUGGACCGAUAUUGACGCUGAGACGCGAAAGCGUGAGUAGCAAACAGG